CCUACGGGAGGCAGCAGUAGGGAAUCUUCCACAAUGGGCGCAAGCCUGAUGGAGCAACACCGCGUGAGUGAAGAAGGGUUUCGGCUCGUAAAGCUCUGUUGUUGGAGAAGAACGUGCGUGCGAGUAACUGUUCACGCAGUGACGGUAUCCAACCAGAAAGUCCCGGCUAACUACGUGCCAGCAGCCGCGGUAAUACGUAGGUGGCAAGCGUUAUCCGGAUUUAUUGGGCGUAAAGCGAGCGCAGGCGGUUGCUUAGGUCUGAUGUGAAAGCCUUCGGCUUAACCGGAGAAGUGCAUCGGAAACCGGGGGACUUGAGUGCAGGAGAGGACAGUGGAACUCCAUGUGUAGCGGUGAAAUGCGUAGAUAUAUGGAAGAACACCAGUGGCGAAGGCGGCUGGCUGGUCUGCAACUGACGCUGAGGCUCGAAAGCGUGGGUAGCGAACAGGAUUAGAUACCCUUGUAGUC
rnacentral:rRNA from 1 species